ACUGUGAAAGGCUUUGGGCGUUUUGCUUUAGGAUUUUCAAAGGUGUGAAUCUUGUUUCAUGAUUUAUCAGAAUUUUGUCCUCCGGAGAGGAAAUGCAUAAUGCAAAGAGGCCUUAGGGCGACUUUGCUUGAGGAAGUAUUGGAAGACGCCCAUGGGAGCAGCCAGUCAUCCAUCACAGGCCAGCGUUGAGUCCCACAGCAGCAAAGCAGCUAAUAGCGACACAGAACCCUGGGGAGGAGACCGAGCAGUCGCCUGCUACGAAAACAGAGCAGUGGAGGGGAUCAAGGGCUGGAAGGGCCAUGGUCUUUCUCCUUCUCUCUUGCUCCCCUUCUCGCUUCGAAAAUGUUCCUCACAUUCCCGGCAAUCUGUCGUGCUGCAUCUGUCCCAUACGGCUGAAAG